UUUAGGCUAUAAUAAUCACUCUGUAGCUUAUCAGAAAACAGUAUUAUAUAAGCCUAGGUACCUCAGACUCAUUCAGUCUGUGAUUGCAUCUAGCUGAAAUCAAGUUGUGUUGCUGGUAGACUUAAGUAACAUGUACUUGUAUCCAGAUAAUGAGCUCAUUAUAAUGAGGUUGAACCAUGUGGAAUAUGUUUAUACUGUUAUCAAAUCAAAUACUGCAUAAACAUAUUCCACAUGGUUCAACUUCUUAUUGCAUCCACAGGUUAAUUGUACUAUUAUUUCCAUUUAUUAUUUCCUAGUUCUGUUGUUAUUCAUUUUUUAAAUGUAAUUUCCCCCCGUAUUUGAAAUGUAUAGAUAUGUAGAUUCAACCAAAAAAGUAUGCAUUGGUGGUCUAACUUGGUUUUAUUCCUCUGUGUGCUGUUGUAGUUACACACAACCAGAUCGGGAACUACCUGCUCACUGAAGAGCUUCCUGCAGCCAGUCUUGAUCCUCAAGUGGAAUUUGAAAAAAACAUGGAGAGCCUCUCUGCUAUGAUGUCUGACUCCCCUGAAAUCCAGAGGGCAUCAUCAUCAUGGACUUUCAGGCAGCAGCAAGCCUCACAAAGAUGGAAGGAGGCAAGGCCAUUCCACCUUAAAUGCCUCAUCCAAACUCAGGAUGUUGGCCAACCAUUUUGUAGCCAUUGCAGCAAGCCUGCGGUUGUUAGAUGCAGAGAGUGUCUACCAGAUCAGUGGUUCUGUGAAACCUGCGAUACCAAGAAUCACAGGAGAUGGCCACUCCACGAUAGGGAGUCAGUCCUUGAGGGCUUUUUUAAAGCUAUUCCCCCAUCCACAUAUUUUGUAAGAGGGGAGGGAGGAUACAGCUCACACGACCAAGCUUGUAUUUUGCCAACGGUGAGAGUGACUCAAAAAUGUCCCUGUGAAGUCCCCAGCAUAACUCUGUCACCUGGCAAAGCGGUCAUUUUAAUUACCAUCAAUGGGCGUUAUGACAUGCACCAGCAAUUGUUUGCAUGUCAAACAUGCCAGCAGCAGUGGGCUCCAGAGUUCAUGGACCUCGUAAACAGUGGAUACUGGCCAGCUUCCACCAGCUCUUCUAUUUUGUAUUCCCUCAACCUUUUCAGCAGUGUAAGAGAACUGAAAGUCAUCGCUCCGGCACUGUCCAGACAAGCCUUUGCAAAGCUGCUGGAGCAUCGUACAAAGUGUGGUGGGCGGUCAGGACCAGUGUGCGGGGACACGCUGCAGCGCAGCUUCCUGGAGUUUUCCUAUUGUGCUUUUGAGGAAGAUCACUUGUCCUGCGGUGCACCUUUCACCUGCCCCGCUUGCACCCCAGACAUGCUGGCAAUCUCUGUGGAUGGCAACAGGAAGCUAUACCGGUUUCUCCGAAACGGAAGCUCCGACUCUUCGUUUUUUGAAGGGGCAUUUAUCGCAGAAGACACAUCUGUGUCUGCAUUUGUUGAUGUCUUGCAUAAAGCUGUGAAACAGCUACCUGGACAAGGCAGAUGUGGGAGCUCCUCGUGGACAGCAGCGAAGGAGACUUCUAGGAGGACCUUCAAGUUGGACGAAGAGGGCAUGGAGGUUGCGGUGUGUCGGCAUGGUUUCCUCCUUAAAGCGCUUAAUAUGUUCAGAGGUGAAAUCUUUGCCUACCCCAUGUAUCUGCACAAGGAGUUGAUGAGUAAUGUGUAAAUACUGGCCAUAUUUACACACAUCAGCAAACAUCCUUCCUGAUCUCCAGGGGCUAACAUCAAUCAGGCCUUUCCUAAGCGUCAUGCACGCUACAGCACAUUCCACUAAGUGUGAGAUUACAUGGAGUGGCAAAAACCAAGAAGGAGCAGGGUCAACUGCGGGGGAGGAAGUUGAACAGCACGUGUGGAUAUGCUUACAAUCCAUGCUAUGGCCUGGAACUACAAAAAAAUCGCAACACUACAUCGGGCAUUGUCUGCAAGAUAUGUGAAGACUUGCCAGAGGCUUCAGGAGG